rnacentral:rRNA from 1 species
CCUACGUGUGGCAGCAGUGGGGAAUAUUGGACAAUGGGCGAAAGCCUGAUCCAGCCAUGCCGCGUGUGUGAAGAAGGCCUUCGGGUUGUAAAGCACUUUCAGUGGGGAAGAAAGCCUUGGGGCUAAUACCCUCGAGGAAGGACAUCACCCACAGAAGAAGCACCGGCUAACUCCGUGCCAGCAGCCGCGGUAAUACGGAGGGUGCGAGCGUUAAUCGGAAUUACUGGGCGUAAAGCGCGCGUAGGCGGUCUGAUAAGCCGGUUGUGAAAGCCCCGGGCUCAACCUGGGAACGGCAUCCGGAACUGUCAGGCUAGAGUGCAGGAGAGGAAGGUAGAAUUCCCGGUGUAGCGGUGAAAUGCGUAGAGAUCGGGAGGAAUACCAGUGGCGAAGGCGGCCUUCUGGACUGACACUGACGCUGAGGUGCGAAAGCGUGGGUAGCAAACAGGAUUAGAUACCCUAGUAGUC